CGAGCAAUCCCAUAAUUCCUGAGUUAGCUAGCAGAAAUGGUGGAAUAAGUUAGCGUGUACAACUGUUGCUAACCUCUUUCUGACCCGAACACGAUCAAUUCCAUAAUUCCUGAGUUAGCUAGCAGAAAUGGUGGAAUAAGUUGGCGUGGAUGCCGACUCCAAGACAUACUUGAGAUUCCUGACACAGCUGUUCUUUACAUGAACCAUAUUGUGAAGUUUAAGACUCAAAUUAAACGCUAAGCCAGGGAAGAUGAAAAGCAGGCCCAGUGCAAAGCAUUCCACCAUCUCAGAUCAUACACAUCUGGACCAGGAAAUCACACACAGAAGGAGAAGAGCUGGUGCUUCAUUUGGCAGGAUGCAGGAGAGGCUGUGAAAAAUAGGCAUG